UCUUAUGUACAUGCCUAUAGUGUUAAUGCACCAAAUCCCAUCAGAACUUUGCAGUUAAGUGCGCUUGGGAUAGUGUACUACUGGUAUAGGUGACCUCCCAAGAAGUCCUAGUGUUCUUACAU
rnacentral:rRNA from 1 species